CCGCGCCAUCUAAAAUGAAACUUUUCUUAGAUUUUUCUCAACAAGCUUUUUAAAUCCUCUGGCCUGUAGAGUUGCUGAAAGUUAUAGAAGCGAGGUCCCAUCCAUCCAUCCAUUCUUUCAACAAAUACCCAUCUUAUUCACACAUUCCUUCCAUAGUCCACACGGGAGAUACACUUUUAAUUACAUUAUUUUUAAUAUUAAUAAUAAUCCCUAAGUCUCUUGAGCACAUUCUCUAAAGGCUUUCUGAAUGGAAUAAUGCUUAAUCCUUGCUUGAAGACAAGCGCCAGUCAGCGAAGAGUGGAGUGAUGCAGAAACAGGAGCACAAUGGAGCGUGAGCAUGAGCAGAAGAGGUACACACAAUACAUGAGUGUCCCUUCUUCUUGGCCAGCCAUUUACAUUUAUCAUUCAAGAUGCCUGAGGAGCACAGAAUUCUAUUGAAACUACAAUGAAUGGGAGUUAGAAUAGAUGUAAAAUCAAUACAAGGUAAAAUAAAAAGAAUGCGUCCUCUGAAACCCAAUGAUGUGACAUCCUUUCAUGAACUUCAUGAACUUCUGGGCAGAGGAUUUGUCGUGGACAGAAUGUUUGUGUGCUCCCUUUCCCCCAUUUGUAUGUUCAAGUUCUAACUCCCAUUGUGGCUGGAUUUGGAGAAGGGGCUUGUAAGGAAUUAAUUAAUUAAGAUUAAAUGAGGUCAUAAGGGUAGGGCCCAGAUCAGAUAGGAUCAGUGCCCUUGUAAGAGGAAACACCAGAAUGCUGACCUGCGUGCUCCCGUGUUCUCUCUCUCUCUCUGAAUGUGCGUGUGUGUGUAUGUGUGCGCGUGCACGCGCGCGCCGGUGUAUCCAGGAAAGGCCAUCUACAAGCCAGAAGAGAUUUACCAGAAACUGAACCCUGUGGAUACCUUGAUCUUGGGAUUUGUAGUCUCCAGAACUGUGGAAAGAUAAAUUUCACUUAUUUAAAGUA